rnacentral:lncRNA from 1 species
AAAUACAGACACUUUAAUAUAAAGACAAAACUUCAAAGCAUCGUUUCAAUUACAAAUCAAGGGAGACACAAGAAAUUAAGUGGAGGGAGAGGAGCAAAAACUAACUCUUACAUUGUGGAGAAUUAGAAAGGCCGGGUGGAAAUAUAUAUAUUAUACAUACAUAUAUACACACCAGAAUUCACACUACUGCUAGGCAGGAAUGAAAGGAAUGACAGAACAACUUACCAGUAUAAAAAAAAAAAAACCAAAAAAAACCAAAAUAAGAAAUCCAAAAACAAACCAACCAAAAAAACAAACAAACAAAAAAAAGAUAAAUUAGGGGAAGUUUGAAUUUUAAAUAAUUCAGUUUAAUAGGCUAAACUAUAUAAACUAAUUCCUAUUCACUAGGAAACAUCCCAUAUCACUGUCCUAAGAAAAUGGGUUUUUCUAAAAAUCCAUUGAAAAAUGGAUUUUUAUUAGUAGUUAAAAGUUUACUAAUCAAUUCCUGAGCAACAGCAACCUCAUCAUCUACUGCUUUCCCCAUCCAAGUCCCACUCAGCGAGGGCAGGCUCUCACUCCUAAAAAGUUUAAGUAGAACAGAGACCUAAAAAGUUGGGUUUUAAUUGGAAAUUGAUCACUUCAAAGAUUAAUAGAUUAAAAAAGCCAAGCAGGAUGGAUCAACCCAUUCCACCUUUUCCUCAAUAACUCCAGAGACAAAACCUUUUAAAAAAUUAUUUGACUGCACCAGAAAAGCAACCAGAUGUACCUCAAGAAAACCAAAGGAUCACAAACAUGAGAACUUCAGGUCUAAAUAUAUAUUUUUAUAUUUAUAAUGUAUAAGGAUAAAUAAAAUAUGGCACAACAACAUUUUCAAACAGCUUUUAGUGAAAACCUGAUCCGCACAUGGAGCGGAAAAUGGAAAUGGAGCAAAAAAACAAAAGAAAGAAAACCCUUUAAAACCAGUAAGACUUCAAAUAUUCAUACACUGACUGCACAUCUCUACUCCCAAAACUCCAAUUCCUGUGAUUUUUCCUCAGUGCUGCAAAGAUAGUUCACAAAAACACUGUGUAGUUUCUGCUCCCCAAAAGCAUUUUGGGUUCACAGCCCCAUCCGAGGCCCUCCCCUGCUCCCAGUCCUUAAUCCUCUCUGUGCUUUUGGCUCAGGCAAAACAAGAAAAGCAGAAUUUUCCACGCCAGCCACGCCUGGGAGUUGGGAUCAUUCCAGGGUGGAGUUACCCAGGACAAAACACACAGAGACCCCUCAGGUUUGCACGCCCUGGAGCAGAGGGUGAAUUCUGGAAUCAAACUGGUCACACAGGAGCCACCUCGGGACAGCCACCCUGGGCCAGGGCAGGUGCCCCAGGGGAGCUCCAGCCCCGCUGAGGAGGGGAGGAAGGGCCCAGGGAAGGCUGAGCAGAGGAGCCAGAGCACCCCGAGGGCACAGACCCCACACUCCCAGUGCCUGAAGGGCUCAGAGGAGCUGGCAGCACUGGCUGCCCCCUCCCUGAGCCAGGGCUGGGUGUCACCAGCAGCUCUGCACCGCUGGGACUGUCCCUGCCACCACU